rnacentral:rRNA from 1 species
GACGAACGCUGGCGGCGUGCUUAACACAUGCAAGUCGAACGGAAAGGCCCUGCUUUUGUGGGGUGCUCGAGUGGCGAACGGGUGAGUAACACGUGAGUAACCUGCCCUUGACUUUGGGAUAACUUCAGGAAACUGGGGCUAAUACCUGAUAGGAGCUCCUGCUGCAUGGUGGGGGUUGGAAAGUUUCGGCGGUUGGGGAUGGACUCGCGGCUUAUCAGCUUCUUGGUGGGGUAGUGGCUUACCAAGGCUUUGACGGGUAGCCGGCAUGAGAGGGUUAACGGCCAAAUUGGGACUGAGAUACGGCCCAGACUCCUACGGGAGGCAGCAGUGGGGAAUAGUGCACAAUGGGCGGAAGCCUGAUGCAGCAACGCCGCGUGCGGGAUGACGGCCUUCGGGUUGUAAACCGCUUUAGCCUGUGACGAAGCGUGAGUGACGGUAAUGGGUAAAGAAGCACCGGCUAACUACGUG